rnacentral:tRNA from 1 species
GUCGGUGUGGCUCAGUUGGUUAGAGCGUUGGUCUCAUAUGUCCAUGACUUGGUUAAACACCAGGGUAAUCCAAAGGUCGAGAGUUCGAGCCUCUCCACCGACA